rnacentral:rRNA from 1 species
CCCUUAGAUGUUCUGGGCCGCACGCGUGCUACACUGAUGCAUUCAACGAGUCUAAAACCUGGUCUGAUAGGGCUGGGUAAUCUUUUGAAAGUGCAUCGUGAUUGGGAUAGAUGAUUGCAAUUCUUCAUCUUCAACGAGGAAUGCCUAGUAAACGCAAGUCAUCAGCUUGCAUUGAUUACGUCCCUGCCCUUUGUACACACCGCCCGUCGCUCCUACCGAUUGAAUGAUCCGAUGAAUACCAUGGAUUGAGAGUACGAAUAGGUUCGCUUAUUUCUGCUUCUCGGGAAGUGGAGUAAAUCUUAUCAUUUAGAGGAAGGAGAAGUCGUAACA